GAAUUGAAUUUCUCAUCUACCAUGCACAUGCAUAAUAACAACAUAUACGCAUAGCCAAAGCUGGCAUCGUAACGUUGUUAUAGUACAAUUAAUGUAUGGACCAGUGAGUGAGUUAAG